rnacentral:snoRNA from 9 species
GUUGGGAAAUGAUGAGAAGUUAUCUCAAGUUAUCAAAGGCACUAGCUGUGCUGAAUGUCUUAUUUGCACGUCAGUCUGAUCCCAAA